rnacentral:lncRNA from 10 species
CUUAUCUAUACUCCCAAUUCCAAUUCCUUGUAAACAUACUUUGUAAACUCCUGUGAGAUCCUGUCUCCUUUGCCAUGCUGCUGUAAGGUCCUAAAGUAGAUAAAACCUAAGUUGCAAUUCCGGUUUUCCUCAAAAUCUAAGACAUGUCACAAAAUAAUUUACUGCCUUUGUUGAUCUCGCUCCUGUAACAAGCUUCCUGCCUCACGUAUCUCCCGCCUUAAAGAGUUUAAAAGGCAAUCACCCAAAACCAACCGUGGCUACCCAUUCAAGACUGUUUCCACACUGUGGAAGCUUUGUACUUUCACUCUGCUCAAUAAAGCCUGCAGCUUUUUCUCACUCUCAGUCCAUGUCUCUUUCACUCACUGUGGUCAGCUUCCACACCAUUUCUUUGGUGUGGCUUGGCAAGAACCUCAGGUGUUACAUCUUGGCGAGCCAGACAGGAGACUCCAGAAAAGGUAUCUAGAUCAUCAUGCAGAUCAAAGCCAUCAAGCUACAAAUGAUCUUACAAAUGGAACCUCAAAUGAGCUCAGCUCACGGCUUCUACCGAGGACCCCUGGAUCAACCCGCUGGUCCCUCAAUUACCCUAGAAAAUUCCCCUCUGGAGGACACCAAACUGCAGGGCCCCUUCUUCACCCCUAACCAGCAGGAAGUAGCCAGAACGACUGCCACACGGUUCCCAACAGCAGUUGGGGUGUCCUGUUUAGAGGCAGGACUGAGAGGAGGUGCCAGCUGGGCUUCCUGGGUCAAGUAGGGGCUCAGAAAGCUGUGAAACUCACUCAUUUCCUGCAUCAGGACUUACUUCAGUCCUGGAUGAAUAAUAUUGAAGAUAUACGCUUAAAAUAUUCCUAACACCAGGAUUCGUGCAUGUGUUUUCUUCCCCAAGAAAGCUAUAAACAGUGAAAAAUUUGCUGUAAGUUUCCCUGUAUCUUCUCUCCCUCUCUCCCUUCCCCCGCCCCUGAAACUAAAAUAAAGGAAUGUUAACUGCUCAUUUUUCUGUGACCAGUGGACCUUAUCUACACUCCCAAUUCAGAUUCCUUGUAAACAUACUUUGUAAAGUCCUGUAAGAUCCUGUCUCCUUUGCCAUGCUGCUGCAAGGUCCUAAAGUAGAUAAAACCUAAGUUGCAAUUCCGGUUUUCCUCAAAAUCUAAGACAUGUCACAAAAUAAUUUACUGCCUUUGUUUCCGGCUCCUGUAACAAGCUUCCCACCUCAUGUAUCUCCCGCUUUAAAGAGUUUAAAAGGCAAUCACCCAAAACCAACAGUGGCUACCCGUUCAGGACCCCUCCCAUGCUGUGGAAGCUUUGUACUUUCACUCUGCUUAAUAAAGCUUACAGUUUUUUCUCGCUC